rnacentral:rRNA from 1 species
GAUAAACGCUGGCGGCGCACAUAAGACAUGCAAGUCGAACGAACUUACUCGAAAUUUGUAUCUUUUGAAGCGGCUAGUGACGGACGGGUGAGUAACGCGUAAGGAACCUGCCUAUCAGAGAGGACUAACAGAAAGAAGUCCUUACUCAUAACGAAUAUUCCAUACACAUCACACGAUAACGAAGGGAAAGUAUGCAUCCGCUAAUAGAUGGACUUGCGCCUGAUUAGCUAGUUGGUGAGGUAACGGCCUACCAAGGCGACGAUCAGUAGCCGGACUGAGAGGUUGCGCGGCAGCAUCGGGACUGAGGCACGGCUCGGGCUCCUACGGGAGGCAGCGGUCGGGUAUAUGGCGAAAUGGAGGAAACUCUGACGGAGUGACGGCGCGUAUAGGAAGGUGAUUAGCGGAGUGUAAACUAGUAUCGUUCUGGACGAGAAAUGACGGUACCUAAUCAGGAAGCCCCGGCUAACUACGUG